GCCUGUGUAUCCCAACGGCAGAGGAACAUGUCUUAGAAGCAUGACAGUGAGAGUUCGAAUCUCUCCACAGGCAC
rnacentral:tRNA from 1 species